CUCCAGCAGACCCUCCCUCCCAGACCCUCCCACCGCAGCUUCAACAUGGAUGCUGUCCAGGAGGUGGGAGGGUCUGGGAGGGAGGGUCUGCUGGAG